UACGACUACAUAUCAGGCAUAUCAAUAAGCGGAGGAAAAGAAACUAACAAGGAUUCCCUUAGUAACGGCGAGUGAAGCGGGAAGAGCUCAAAUUUGAAAUCUUCAAGGUUUUACCUUGACGAAUUGUAGUUUAAAGAAGUGUUUUCUGUUGGUGUUUUGGUAAAAGUUCUUUGGAAUAGGACAUCAUAGAGGGUGAGAAUCCCGUAUUUGACCAUUACUUCCAGCGUUGUGAUACACUUUCAAAGAGUCGGAUUGUUUGGGAAUGCAGUCCAAAAUGGGUGGUAAAUUUCAUCUAAAGCUAAAUAUUGGCGAGAGACCGAUAGCGAACAAGUACCGUGAGGGAAAGAUGAAAAGAACUUUGAAAAGAGAGUUAAACAGUACGUGAAAUUGUCAAAAGGGAAGCGUUUGACACCAGUGUUGUUUUCUCGAAAAUCAAUUAAAAAAUGCUGAUUUUGUGUUGUAUUGACCUUUAUCAAGCUUUCUUCACUUUUUUCAUUGUCUUAUUUUAAUGCACUUUUCGUUUAACAAGUCAACAUCAGUUUCUUUUGUUGUAAAAAGAGUCAUUGGAAGGUGGCUUUCCUUUCGGAUGAAAGUGUUUAUAGCCUUUGACUCCUGCAAUCGGAGAGACUGAGGUCUGCAGCGUAGAUCCUUCUGGAUUAGAUUCACUUGUGCUAAGUUAUAGCUUUUCAUAGACAACUUGUUGACUAUGUUUAGUCAUUGUAGCUUACUCGCUUAUGUAAUUUUACCUACGCUUAGGAUGUUUGAACGCGCACAGAGUCUC
rnacentral:rRNA from 1 species